CAAACCCUUAAGCCCUGUUGCUUAGCGUUGGGAGCCUACGGUACCGUAGCUCCCCAAAGUUAGUGGCGGAGUCGGUCUCACACCCUAGACGUAGUAAAUCUCUCUCGUCUGCGGUUAGGCCGGUCUCCUGCCGUAAAACACCCUAUAAUUCUAAA
rnacentral:misc_RNA from 1 species